CACGUGGACAAAAUACAAAAGUGUUGGUUACACAGCAUCUAGCAUGCCGCUGUUCUGUCGUUCAGUCAUUAUGGAUCACAAUUAUUCAUUGGCGAGUACAGAAAAUCCCCCCAAAAACACAAUCUUAGAUCAACUGAGGCAAGCAGGCUUUGGGACAAACUGAGAAAUAAAACAAGGAUCAGUAUUCGCGACUAACUUGGACUUGACAGAGACUCCACUCUCGCAUAGACAGAAGAAAGAAAGUCAUAUAGGUUUGGAACAACAAAAGGGCUGAAUAUAACAAGGAACUGUGAAUGUGGAGGUGGAAUCUUAAAAACUCAAGCAGUCUAAAUUUGCUGUGCUCCAUCAGAUUCCCAGGGUGAGAGGAAUGAAGCUGAACUGAGAGGUAAUGCAGGUCUGUUCCUCUGAGUCACAGAAAUCUCAGACAGGAGAGCUGCGAUGAGCCUCAGCUAACGAGAGCUCUGGUGAUGCUGACAGUCUGCAGCUUGGAAGAGAUGAUUUGGAAACAACCUUUGCUGGUACCCAUCAGUGUGAUUGGAAUAACAUACACCUCCGUAAGGCUAUGCUCAUGGCCCAUCAGAAGGAUGAACGUUUCACUUAAGGUGAUGUUCUCACCUGAGCCUAGUGAGAGAAAGAGCAAUAAAGUUUGUGUCAGUGAUUGUGUCACAUAUACAGAGAAUAUAUCAGACAAGUGAAAACAUGUAUGUGUUUGUGUGUUGCACUUUUAGACCUUCCAUCGACAUUCAUGAACCAUCUGACUCAUAUUGCACACAAGAGUUUUCUCAAAACUUCUAGCUCCAAUCUUAUUGUCUGGCUUUCAGUGUGUUUUUAUCAGUCUGCCACAUAAAAAAGUCCAAGAUCCCCUAAUUUAGGUAAUUUAUGGCUCAAUUUUCAAGUAGGCUGUGCUUGAAAUUUUGUAAAUCAAAAUUACACUACCUGAUUUCCCAGAUUUAAACAUGGUGCUAAGAGGUUAAUGCUCUAUUGUAUUUAAAAAUAAUCUAACACCUUCAACCCAAACCUAAACCUAUAGUCAUUUUCACAGUUGGGUUGACAAUAGAGACAAGUAAAGGAUCUAAAUGAUGCAGAUUUACAUUUAUUUCACAAAGAACUCAGGAACUAGGAAACAAGAACACAACAACCAAACAUAACAUGACCAAAACUAAUUAAAGCAAUGAACAGCAGGUGUGCAAAUCAAUCAAACAAUGAGUAAACAAGGAAACUAACUGAAAACUAGGCCACAGAACAAAAACGUGAUAAAACCACCUAAAACUGAAACAAACACAGAUAAUCCCUGACUGACAUGACAUUUUAUCUUAUUUGUUUGAGUUUUUUAUUGAGUGUUGCUACAUCACAAGUGCAAUGAUGAACCAGGUGAGCUACAGAGCAAGUUUACUACGUCAGAAAAGUACGCCAUACAUAUGGAGCUGGUUAUGUGAUGCAAAUGUCAAAAUGUAUUAUUUUACAAAUCAUGCACUAUGCUAGAAAUGCUUUGAUGCCAUAACAUAGUAUUGUGAAAGGAACUGCACACAUUAACAGAUAAUCUGACACUACCAAUUUGUGUGAAAAGGAAUAAAAGUUGC